AUUGAACGCUGGCGGCAGGCCUAACACAUGCAAGUCGAGCGGAGCGGCGGACGGGUGAGUAAUUCCUAGGAAUCUGCCUGGUAGUGGGGGAUAACGUACGGAAACGGGCGCACAUACCGCAUACUAUCAGAUGAACCUAGGUCGGCUUGUCUAGUUGGUGGGGGAAAGGCCUACCAAGGCGACGAUCCGUCACUGGUCUGAGAGGAUGAUCAGCCACACUGGAACUGAGACACGGCCCAGACUCAUACGGGAGGCAGCAGUGGGGAAUAUUGGACAAUGGGCGAAAGCCUGAUCCAGCCAUGCGGCGGGUGUGAAGAAGGCCUUCGGGUUGUAAAGCACUUUCAGCGGGAAGGCGUUACCCAAAGAAGAAGCACCGGCUAACUCCGUGCCAGCCGCCGCGGUAAUUC
rnacentral:rRNA from 1 species